rnacentral:rRNA from 1 species
UGCAAGCGUUAUCCGGAUCACUGGGUUUAAAGGGUGCGUAGGCGGGUAGGUAAGUCAGUGGUGAAAUCCUGGAGCUCAACUCCAGAACUGCCAUUGAUACUAUCUAUCUUGAAUAUUGUGGAGGUAAGCGGAAUAUGUCAUGUAGCGGUGAAAUGCUUAGAUAUGACAUAGAACACCCAUUGCGAAGGCAGCUUACUACGCAUAUAUUGACGCUGAGGCACGAAAGCGUGGGGAUCAAACAGGAUUAGAUACCCUGGUAGUCCACGCCCUAAACUAUGGAUACUCGACAUAUGCGAUACACUGUAUGUGUCUGAGCGAAAGCAUUAAGUAUCCCACCUGGGAAGUACGUUCGCAAGAAUGAAACUCAAAGGAAUUGGCGGGGGUCCGCACAAGCGGUGGAGUAUGUGGUUUAAUUCGAUGAUACGCGAGGAACCUUACCUGGGCUAGAAUGCUGGGAGAUCGCUAGUGAAAGCUAGUUUUGUAGCAAUACACUGCCAGUAAGGUGCUGCAUGGCCGUCGUCAGCUCGUGCCGUGAGGUGUUGGGUUAAGUCCCGCAACGAGCGCAACCCCUAUCUUUAUUUGGCAACAGGUAAUGCUGGGAACUCU